CCCUGCUGAUUAAAAUAUAAAACUUUUUUGUCAAACAAAUUUUAUUUUUAUAAAUACGAUUCUAUAGUACAAUAGGAAUGUGAUAAAAGAUUGAAUAGUUUGACGGAGAGACUUCAUGAGAGUCUACAGAUAAUAAAAAAAAUUGUUAUGAAUCGACUUCUUGAGUGUAAUGGAAAAGUCGCAGAUAAAGUUAAAAACAAAAUCUCUGGUAUAACAAAAAUAUAAAGGAUUUGAAACUCUACAAUCAAUAAAUAAAAUAUUAAAUGGCAAAUCGGACGAGAACAAUUUCAGUUGUAAUUUAACACUAGGACAAAUUUCUUUAUUUAAAUAUGCGCUAACUACAUCAUGUGACAUUGAACGGAGCUUCAGUCAGUAUAAAUCAAUACUACGAUCCAAUCGCUGAUAUUUUAUAUUCAAAAAUUUAAAAAAAUAUGUUGUCGUAGCAUGUAACACGUAUUUCCACUAUUGAAUGUGAAUUAUAAAUUUUAUUUCCAAAUUAUUUUAUUUUUUCAUUAAUAUUAUAUUAAGACAAACAGCCAAUCACUAAUGUAUUUCAAUAAAUACAUAUUUUCUUAUAACAAUUCAAAUGUAUAUUUUUGUAAACAAAAUGUAUAUUUUACAAUGUUUUAUUGCAUACAAAUCCUAGUCCUGAUAAUUAGAUUAGAUUCAAGCUGGUUCAUAAAUAUGUAUAGAUUAUUUACUUUGAGGCUUAUGAAAUUACUUCCCUAUCAUUUAGUAAACCUGAGUCAUGGGUAAUACAUACCCUUUAAAGGCACUAAUUUAUAAAAGUCAAUCAAAAACAACCAAAUGAUAAUCUGUGUAUCAAUUCUAGAAAAACUAGUUUGUUUAAAUUUUUUCAACCCUGUAGGCUGUAAAACAAUAAGCACACUAAUUGUCUAUACUAGAAUAAUGUAUAGAUUAUACAAUUUUUAUUGAAAUAAUAAGAAAUAAAUAAUGUCUACAUUUUUCAAUACAAAUU